rnacentral:rRNA from 1 species
GACGAAGGAUGCAAGCGUUAUCCGGAUUCAUUGGGUUUAAAGGGAGCGUAGGUGGCCUUAUAAGUCAGUGGUGAAAUCUCUGGGCUUAACCCAGAAAUUGCCAUUGAUACUGUAGGGCUUGAGUAUAGUUCCGUUGGCGGAAUAUGACAUGUAGUGGUGAAAUACAUAGAGAUGUCAUAGAACACCGAUUGCGAAGGCAGCUGACGAAACUAUAACUGACACUGAGGCUCGGAAGUGCGGGGAUCAAACAGG